CGCAGGGGGUAAGAGUCCCGUAGUUAAAAGGUUGAUAGAUUUAGAAUGUAUCCUGAGACGGCGGAACACGAGGAAUUCCGCCGGAAUCCGGGAGGACCAUCUCCCAAGGCUAAAUACUCCUUGGUAACCGAUAGUGAACCAGUACCGUGAGGGAAAGGUGAAAAGCACCCCGGAAGGGGAGUGAAAUAGAACCUGAAACCGUGUGCUUACAAGUAGUCAGAGCCCGUUAAUGGGUGAUGGCGUGCCUUUUGUAGAAUGAACCGGCGAGUUACGAUUUGAUGCAAGGUUAAGCAGUAAAUGUGGAGCCGCAGCGAAAGCGAGUCUGAAUAGGGCGAAUGAGUAUAUGUUUGUAGACGCGAAACCAGGUGAUCUACCCAUGACCAGGCUGAAGUUCAGGUAACACUGAAUGGAGGCCGAACCGACUUACGUUGAAAAGUGACGGAUGAGUGUGGGUAGCGGAGAAAUUCCAAUCGAACCUGGAGAUAGCUCGUUCUCUCCGAAAUAUAUUUAGGUAUAGCCUCAUAUUAGCAUCGUGGAGGUAGAGCACUGUUUGGAUGAGGGGCCCAUCCCGGGUUACCGAGUUCAGACAAACUCCGAAUGCCACAGAUGUGAUGUAUGGGAGUCAGACAGUGGGUGAUAAGGUCCAUUGUCGAGAGGGAAACAGCCCAGACCACCAGUUAAGGUCCCCAAAAUAUAUGUUAAGUGGAAAAGGAUGUGGCGUUGCACAGACAACUAGGAUGUUGGCUUAGAAGCAGCCAUCAUUUAAAGAGUGCGUAAUAGCUCACUAGUCAAGUGACGCUGCGCCGAAAAUGUACCGGGGCUAAACAUAUUACCGAAACUGUGGAUUAAAAUUUAUUUUAAUGGUAGGAGAGCGUUCUAAGUGCGGCGAAGCAUGAUCGUAAGGACAUGUGGAGCGCUUAGAAGUGAGAAUGCCGGUGUGAGUAGCGAAAGACGGGUGAGAAUCCCGUCCACCGACGACUAAGGUUUCCAGAGGUAGGCUCGUCCCCCCCCCCCCCCCCCCCCGAAGCGAUGGGGGGACGCAGUAGGAUAGGCGAAGCGUACUAUUGGAUUGUACGUCCAAGCAGUAAGACUGAGUGUUAGGCAAAUCCGGCACUCUUAAGGUCAAGCUGUGAUGGGGAGAGGAAAUUGUUUCCUCGAGUCGUUGAUUUCACACUGCCGAGAAAAGCCUCUAGCUAGAAUUGUGGUGCCCGUACCGCAAACCGACACAGGUAGUCAAGAUGAGAAUUCUAAGGUGAGCGAGCGAACUCUCGUUAAGGAACUCGGCAAAAUGACCCCGUAACUUCGGGAGAAGGGGUGCUCUUUAGGGUUAACGCCCAGGAGAGCCGCAGUGAAUAGGCCCAAGCGACUUCUAAACCGUGAGUAUGCCGCCCGGUGCUGGAAGGUUAAGAGGAGUUAGCCGCGAAUACGGAAGCCCCAGUAAACGGCGGCCGUAACAAUAACGGUCCUAAGGUAGCGAAAUUCCUUGUCGGGUAAGUUCCGACCCGCACGAAAGGCGUAACGAUUUGGGCACUGUCUCAACGAGAGACUCGGUGAAAUCAUAGUACCUGUGAAGAUGCAGGUUACCCGCGACAGGACGGAAAGACCCCGUGGAGCUUUACUGUAGUCUGAUAUUGAAAUUCGGUACAGCUUGUACAGGAUAGGUAGGAGCCUGAGAUACGUGAGCGCUAGCUUACGUGGAGGCGUUGGUGGGAUACUACCCUAAAUGUAUUGAACUUCUAACCCUUACCCCUGAUCGGGGUAGGAGACAGUGUCAGGCGGACAGUUUGACUGGGGCGGUCGCCUCCUAAAAAGGUAACGGAGGCGCCCAAAGGUUCCCUCAGAAUA
rnacentral:rRNA from 1 species